CUGGCGGCAUGCCUAACACAUGCAAGUCGAACGAGAGUAGCAAUACUCGAGUGGCGAACGGGUGAGUAACACGUGAGCAACCUGCCUUACACAACGGGAGUACCUACUGGAAACAGUAGUUAAUACGGUAUAAGACCACAGUACCGCAUGAUACAGUGGUAAAAGAUUUAUCGGUGUAAGAUGGGCUCGCGGCGCAUUAGCUAGUUGGAGAGGUAACGGCUCACCAAGGCGACGAUGCGUAGCCGACCUGAGAGGGUGAUCGGCCACAUUGGGACUGAGAUACGGCCCAGACUCCUACGGGAGGCAGCAGUGGGGGAUAUUGCACAAUGGGCGCAAGCCUGAUGCAGCGACGCCGCGUGAGUGAAGAAGUAUUUCGGUAUGUAAAGCUCUAUCAGCAGGGGAGAAAGGCCCGCAAGGGAGAUGACGGUACCUGACUAAGAAGCCCUGGCUAACUACGUGCCAGCCGCUGC
rnacentral:rRNA from 1 species